UGUCCUGAGUCCGAUUGCACAUCUUCAGGCCUGUGCCUGUAUCCCAUCCACGUGAAUUCAGAAAUUGAGUAGCUGCAGCAGUCACGGUGGACGCUGGGUUGAGGGUACUCCACCCAAGAACAUAAACCUGUCUUUUUGACCUUGUAAAUAUAGAAAGGCGUAUUUGUCCAUUAAAAAAAAACAGGAAUAUUUAUCACCUUUGCUUAAAGGAGACUUUGCAAGACCUACGCCUAAUUUGUCCUGACUUUGGAUUCUAGUCUGGAAGGAGUACUGCUGAAAAGAACUGGCCUUUGGUGCUCAUGGGAAAUGGAUGAGAAGAGGCAGACAUAUUAUGCUAGAUACAGAUUUCUUUUCUUAAUAUGCGGAACAGAUAGCAUCAGCCAUAACAAAGAAUAGAGAAGAUACUGUCUCUGCCCUGCAGGAUUACAGUGACUAUAAUGUGCUUUUCAGUUCCCUGGGGAACACACAGGCAAAAUUAUUUUGCGUGACAAUGAUGUCUUUUAAGAUACCCGUAGCUUGGCCAGUUUUUAUCGCCUUUGUCUAUAUUUAGAAGAACUCAUAAUAAUGUUUCUAAAGGCCCUCGUAAACAUUCAUUCCCUACAAAUCUAAUGAAUACAUUUCUGUAUUAGGGCAGGAGAGGACGGCAAACACCUCGUCAUCAUAAAAAACGGGUCAUUUUAAGGAGAAAAAUAGAUGGAAUAGGAAAAAUAGCCCUCUAUCUUCGUCUGAUAUAACUAAUAUUGGGGUAUAUACUACUUUUAAUUUAUGCUAAAUAUAACAUACUAAAUAAUAGUUUAGUAUAUGUUAGUCCAUAUACCUUUAACACUGGGAUAUAUACCGGUUUUAAAAUACCAACUGGAGGCGUUGUGGCUCAGCUGAUAGACUUCAUGCCCAUGCCAGCACCAGAACCCCUGGCCAGUGCAGUCCCAGCACUCAGGCCGUGCAGAAGGAGGAUCAGAAGUCCAAAGCCAUUCUUAGCUGAUGAGUUCAGGAUCAGCCUGAAUACGUAAGACCCCGAUUAAAACAAAACCAGCCAACCAACCAACCCAACCCCAGUGUCUGAGGGGUUGACCCCCAUGAUUUACUUGGAGGCCUUUUCUUCUCCCGUUCUUUCUAGAAGCCUGGAUAGGCAAUACUCGGUGAGCAGCCAAAGACUACACUAGUGUGAUCAGUGGUGGUGACUAAAGAUAAUGUCUGACUUAUCACACUGGGGGUCUGCAAUAAGCUUGUUGGGCACACGUCUAAACAGGACAUCCAGUUACUCUCAGGAAAGGGCAGCAGGAUGACCCAAGGUGGAGGUGAGGAGGGGAAGAACAUCUUUCUGGAGGUCCGCCAUCAGAAUGGCUUCAUCUAGUGAGUUUCCCUCCGUCUUGCCGAACCGCCAUUACUCCUGUGCAUAUGUGUGCAUUCGUGUUGCUUCCUGUCACGCAUUCCUUUGAGAGACUGUUUGGGGGUGGGAAGGUUGAUUUCUGCUCACAGCUUCCAGAGUUCCAGACCAUGGUCUGUUACCUCUAUUUCUUUGGGCCUGAGGUAGGGCAGAACGUUGUGGUGGAGGGGACUGUGCAGUGGAAGGGCUGCUCACCUCCUCACAGCCAGGAAGCAAACGUUCUUCUCUUGUAUUCUAUCUGGGCCCAGCCUGUGAGGUGCUGCUGCCCAUAUCCAGGGUGGUUCUUAUCCCCGUAGCUAAUCCUCUCUGGAAACGCCCCAACAGUGUGCUUUACUAACAACCUAGAUGUCUCUCAACCCGAUCAAGAUGAAAAAUCAACUUGAUACCAGUGUUCCUUUAUCUCAUUAAAUAUAUUUUGGAACAAAAGUCCACGUUUUUGUGUUCAUGGAAACACAUAUCAAAAAUGAAUAGGGGGUAGCCCUGAAAAAUAUACAGAAUGGAAAUAAGACGAUUACAUUUCUACUACAUAUUGUUACUAACAGGCUCAAGGCUGAGCCUGAGGUAUGUACUAUCUAGGAUAAAAAGCAGAGAUGUGUUGAAAUAGCCUUACACUCGACUGAAUUGUUCUGUAUCUUGCAGUAGAUUGUUGAAUGCAAGGUGCAAGAAGCCAAUGAGAUGACUCAGUAGGUAAAGGUGCUUGCUGCCAAGCCUGGGGACCUACUAAGUUCAAGUACUUGCUGCCAAGCCUGGGGACCUACUAAGUUCAAGUACUUGCUGCUAAGUCUGGGGACCUACCAAGUUCAAGUACUUUCUGCUAAGUCUGGGGACCUACUAAGUUCAAGUACUUGCUGCCAAUCCCGGGGACCUAAUAAGUUCAAUCCCAAGACCCACAGAAUGAGAGGAGAGAACAGACUACUAUAAAUUGCCCUCUGACCUCCACACACAUUAGUUAAUUAAUUUAAAAACAUGCAAUAGAAGAAAGCGCUUCUUCAUUGUGGCGCUCUGCCCAAGACAGCCACGACCGGGAACCAGCCCAUUCUUCACCCACCCUUUGCAAUCCAGAGAUAUCAUGGCAGAACGCAGACUAGCAAUGGCUACCUUACACGAGGUCAACUAACUUGGCUCUUUUUUAUGCCCAAGUCCCUUCGUUGCAGAAGUGGAAAGAACUGGAUCUUUGUGAUUGCGUGGGGGGAAGAGUAAGGGAGGGAGGCUUCAGAAGCGCUUAACCCAGUGUUGGGAUCAACUUAAGCAGCCAAGGUGUGGCUGAUUAAAGGACACCCCCGCCCCCAUUUCCUUAGGCAGCAGGGUAGAAGUAGCCUUACAAAAUGUACAGGUGACCCCUUCACAAACACCUUUGGGAGAAAAAAAAAGACCCAAAACCCAACAUGAUCAGCCAUGCUUAAAUUGGAAAAGUCCCCAUUCCCAAGACAAAGGAGACAGCAGCAAGGAAAAAGGAAACGCACCUAUAAGGAAGCCUGGCUGUGUCAUCGGUUAUUCCAUGACUACACCUGAGUGUCCCAAACGCUUUGCAAACUGCUCCAGGCCUCCAUCACCCUUACCCUCUAGAGCUGGUCUGGCGGGUCUGCUCCAUUGAACAGUAGCGCCAUGUCUCCCGCACUGCAAGGUGGAAACUGCACAGACAUCUGUGAUCCUUCCCUGGACCUUAGCUGCAAGUGAAGCCAGCACUGUGCCUACAGUCAGCGCUACACAGACUCUGGGAUUGAUGGAGGAUGGCCCAGCCCAUGGUGGGUGGUGCCAUUGCUAGACUGGUGGCCCUGCAUCCUAUAAAGAAGCAAGCCCAGGCUUCCUCAGCUUUUGUGCAGGCUAUAUGCUACCAGGAUGGGACAACUCCAUGUAGUCACGCACAUGAUCUCUGGAGCCAAGGAAAUACCAAGAUAAUGUGACUUUGAUGGUACCUCACAAAGCCUCCAUCUCCUGGAAGGUGAGCUAUAAAGAGAAUGUGUCCCCAUGAUUUCAUCCCUUUCUAAGAGGUAGGCACCUCUUCAAGCUUACAUCUUAUAUACCACCCACCCCCAUUCUCUUCUGUCCAUCUCCCACCACACCAAACCUGCUCUCACCCAGCCUCACCUAGGAGACCCUCGACGGUGCGGCUGUCUCCUACUCUUCGUGAGGGUCUUAUCUGAAACAGGCUCUGUCAUGCUUACCCUACCUAACUGGUACUUGGCACCAUGACUGGGGGCAAAAUGGCUAAUAUUCUGGUUUCAGUCUUCUUUCCUCCAUCCAUUGGGUUCAGACACUGAGAUGAGCAGCUCAUGCCAGCCCGAGACCUGUUAGCCUCCGUGUCUCUUACCCUGCCUUCCCCGUGUGAAGCUACUCAGGAAACAGGACAACGGGCUUCAGAACAACAGAGGGCCACCUUCAGAAUACGAAUUUUAUAUCUCUACCUCCCAUGUUGCUGCUUUAGAGCUUUCCAAGGGAACCCACCCCCCUUUUUUGAGACAGUAUUUCACUACAUAGGUUAUAGUGUAGGGAAGGAAGUUCAAAGCAAUUUUCCUCACAGUUGGAAUUUAGGUUUUUUGUUUCUUCUCACUUCUCAUCUCCCUUCCUCUACCACUGCUCAGUGUUUCCAAGUACGUAUUUGGGGGGUGAAUUACCUACCACAGCAAUCAGUCUUGGUAGAAGAUAGCAUUUCUACUUAUGGUGAUAAAAAUGACCACCCCCCAUAGGCCCAUAGAAAGUGGCACUAUUAGAAGGCAUGGCCUUGGAGGAUAGGUAUGGUCCAGUUGGAGUGGGUGUGGUCUGCUUGGAGUGGGUGUGGCCUGCUUGGAGGUAGUGUGUCACUGGGUGAGGGCCUUGAGGUUUCAGAUGCUCAAGCCAGGCCCAAUGUUUCAGUCUCUUCCUGCUGCCUGCUGGUCCAGAUGUAGAAGUCUCAACUCCUCUCCACCCAUCAGCCUGAGUGCGGCCAUGUUUCCCAACAUCAUGACAAUGGACUAAACCUGUGGACUGUAAGCCAGCUCCAAUUAAAUGUUAUCUUUCUUAAGAGUCGCUGUGGUCUCGUCACAGCAAUAGAAACCCUAAAUUACUACCCAUUUUGUCUACAUCCCAGCACCACCAAUGACAUGGCUUUGUGUAAGGCUCCCAUUCUCCCAGGGGAUGGGAUGGACUGAGGUGGCACCCUGAGAAACCCAGCCCCGGUCUUGACUGAAGCAUCCGUCUCUCUUGGCCUCUAGGAAUGCAGGACCCUUUCUCCUGGUGCCUUCUGCAUCCAGGGGACUCCUCUGCAGGCUCUCCUCACACUUAUUUCUUCUUUGUUCUGGCCCUGAGCAUGUAUUUUCUCAACAUCACCCAGUGGCUCCAUUGAUUCCACGCCAGGCACACGUCACCUCUCCACUGAGCCUCUCCCGGAUCCCAGUGACCUGGGAAUGGGCGUUGCUGCGGUUUGGAACCUGUCUCUGGCUCCCCAAUAUUGCUUUCUGGGAGUGUUUUUAUCCUUAUUUUAGUGCCAUUAAAGUUUCUUCCUGGCCCCAGCCUCACUAAUGUUGACACUUUCAGAGAGUAAAUGAGCUGAGACACUCUUAAUGCGUCUCCAAACACUAUGGCGACGUACGUAAGGAGAGGAAAUCUCUUAGUAGACUGUACGCUGUAGUAGACAGGAAGUUCCUCUUGACCCCAGGGUGGACACUAUAAUCUUCCGAAGGCUCCAGUCACCCCUGCAACCAAGGUUACAAACAGUGCACACUGCUUCUUGGUGUCCACAGCUGAAGAGCUGAACUUGCCUGUGCUGUAAUUUUCUGCUCUUUAAGACGGAAUGGAAGCAGUGCUUGUUCAAAGGACUAUUGAAAGGCACCAAAGCAAGCAAACAAACAAAAACCAACAACUAAGGUGCUUAGAUCAGGGAGUCGCAGGAGCUUAACUGCGUCCUCAAGUGACGCUGGGAGCGUGUUGGUGCCUCCUGUGUGGGUCUGUUUCCAUGGGUCUGGUGCCGGCUGUGACCAGUCUCCAGCAUAACUUUACCACAGGGUCAUCUCAGAAUGUCCGUCGAGGCGUCCUCGGAGUUUCUCCAGCACUGUUGCACACUGAGAAGCUGUCUGUAGGUUGAGGUUAUAGAAAGAGUAUGCAAAGAACCAUUCCCCCCAGCUCUACCGCUGCAGCCAGCCUCUGCGCCUGCGCCGUCUCAGUUCAUCGGAGCCUGACCUACGCGAUCAAUCCAAAACCACCUUAGGUUUCUUGCAACUUCCAUAUGUGGCGUUUCACUAAAUGCACUGUUCCCAGUAAUCACAGAUUUUCACCCUUGAAAUAACCCUCAUUUAUCCCUGCCUGAUUUUGCUCCAUCCCCAAUUUUUUUUUUUAACCAACAGUGGUUUUUCUUGAUUUUUUUGGGACAAGUUCUUCAACAGGACAGAAAUUUGAUCCAAAGGAUUUGCUAUUUUUUAGUACAUUUUCCACCCCUGAAAGCAAACAGUAUCAUCCAUGACCACAGCCUACUUGUAUUUUAAAUAAAACCAGAUUUGAAAAUAUGAUCCGAUGGAGCCUAUGUAUUUUGCCUGUCACAACUAAGCUUGAUCAAUUACUAAUUAUUAUGUGUGACUGAAAACAAGUCAGAAGGCUUUUUAGCCUUGAAUCCCAAUACUUAGGAGACUCAGAUAGGAUCAAAAGUUCAAGGCUAGCCUGGGCUAACUAUCAAGACCUUGUUUAAAACAAACAAAAAUUAAAGGUCUGAGGUCUACCUGUCCUGUGAGUGUGUAAGUUAAGGAGGCCAGUGAGUCCCACGACAGAAUCUGUCUGAUUCCUUUUGUGUCUCUACUGUUUGUGUGCAGUUUGAGUCAAGUGGUGUUCAUUGAAUGAAUAUAUAAAGUUUUAGAGGCUAGCCCUAUACUAAAACAAAAGAAAACAAAAACAAAAUAAAAAAUCCAAACAAACGACCCUGCACAUACCUUUAUUGCCAGAUUGAGUCUGAGGCGGGCAGAUCUCUGAGUUUGA
rnacentral:sRNA from 1 species